GCUCAGUGCUAACAAGUUACCCAGAUCAUGUUUGGGCUGGGAAGGGGGAACCCCACAUAACAAAACAGGAAGCAGAUUUGAUUUAUAAGAAGAAAGCCUAAAACCAACAAUGGGGGAAAAAGAAUAAUUUGUAGGACCCCUGCUAGGGCUGUAGCUAAAGUGACACGGCUAGAGAUUUGCCAGGCCUCGCUACAGAGAGGCCCUGAGGUGGGGCAGUCACCACUUCCGUUUGGGGUAGCUGGUGAGUGUGAACGUGAACUUUCCACGGUGGAUUUCCUCAGGCUGCACGUCAGCUAAGCUGGCCAUCCAGCCACAGGGCGGGGCGUUUCUGAGAGACAGGUCAUCGCCAUCUCCAGAGAAGCUGCCACCUGCUCUGAGGCGGUUGGCAGGUGCUGGCAGCGCCCGGGCCAGAUGCUUGACCUCCAGUUUAUCUGCAUUGUGAGGAUGACUAAUGAGCUUGAAGAGCAGUGGAUCAGCACUCUCCCCGCACUACGCUCCUCCCCAACCUCAGAAUUCUCACCUGGUACCCAUGCUCCGCCUACAUUGAAUCUGGGCAUUCUAUGUGACCAAGAGAACAGUGAGUGACUUCUGAAGGAAGAAAAAUGACAACCCUGCUCCACUUCUGCCAGUCACAACAAAGCGCCAGGCUGGUCCUCAGGCCUGAGUCCGGGCUGGCAGUGCCCACCUGCGCCCUGUGGGUCUCCAGUAUCAGCGUCCUCUCCUCGGACUGGAAUUGCCUUUCAGGGGUGGACGGAGACCAUGGCAUUCUCUCGGCUGGUGCCAGUACUGUUCGUAGGUUGUCAGGGGGCCUCAGAGGGCAUGAAGUGCCCCUGGGAUGUCAGAUCCCAGCUGACAUCACCUGAGCAGCCCCCGCUUCUGCCUCCCCAACCCCUCUCUUCAACUCCUCCCAGCUGGAAGGGAGCUGGGGCUGAAACAGAGGCUCCUGAGAAACAGCAUCAAGGAGUUAGCCCGUGGGCAUGGUCUGCUUCCUAAUUUACAGGGCCCAGCACAAAAUGGAAAUGUGGGACCCCCUUGUUAAAGAAGGCACAGGUCAUUAAAGGUACAAAAAUAUA